GAUGAACGCUGGCGGCGUGCCUAAUACAUGCAAGUCGAGCGAACAGAUGAGGAGCUUGCUCCUCUGACGUUAGCGGCGGACGGGUGAGUAACACGUGGAUAACCUACCUAUAAGACUGGGAUAACUUCGGGAAACCGGAGCUAAUACCGGAUAAUAUAUUGAACCGCAUGGUUCAAUAGUGAAAGACGGUUUUGCUUUCACUUAUAGAUGGACCCGCGCCGCAUUAGCUAGUUGGUAAGGUAACGGCUUACCAAGGCAACGAUGCGUAGCCGACCUGAGAGGGUGAUCGGCCACACUGGAACUGAGACACGGUCCAGACUCCUACGGGAGGCAGCAGUAGGGAAUCUUCCGCAAUGGGCGAAAGCUUGACGGAGCAACGCCGCGUGAGUGAUGAAGGUCUUCGGAUCGUAAAACUCUGUUAUUAGGGAAGAACAAAUGUGUAAGUAACUAUGCACGUCUUGACGGUACCUAAUCAGAAAGCCACGGCUAACUACGUG
rnacentral:rRNA from 1 species